rnacentral:rRNA from 1 species
CGGCGGACGGGUGAGUAACGCGUGGAUAACCUGCCCCACACAGGGGGAUAACAGUUAGAAAUGACUGCUAAUACCGCAUAAGCGCACAGUACCGCAUGGUACAGUGUGAAAAACUCCGGUGGUGUGAGAUGGAUCCGCGUCUGAUUAGGUAGUUGGUGGGGUAACGGCCCACCAAGCCGACGAUCAGUAGCCGACCUGAGAGGGUGACCGGCCACAUUGGGACUGAGACACGGCCCAA